AGAAAACACAAGAAAAGCUGUCGCUACACUCUAAAGCAGAUUCCCCACACUCAUUCACGGUUGUGGUUUUCAUCCCGAGAACCACAGUGAACUGGAGCUUUAGAAACUGCUACUCAAACGACUAUUUUCCUAGCAUAUCCUCCUUCAUGCAAGAAUUUAGGUCUGCCUGGGGACACAAGUGAAACAUUAGGGAACUACUACUGACCCCUUUCUGUAUUACACUCUCCUUGCUCUAACCGGAAACUGCGUUUUUAUUCAACACCUCAUUUAAAGAAAAUUCAGAGAUGCUGAAUUUUCCACUUAUAUGGCAAAUCCUUUCCCCAUCCUCUCUAUUUCCCCAGAGAAGGGCAAAACGGCAAAUAUCAAGGUUAAUUUUGUCUUUUGCAAGCUCACCCAGUCUCUCUGGCUGUGCAGUGCAGCCAAGGCAUAUUUCCAUAUGUGUGUUCACCCCAUGCACGUAAGCUCCCAGAAUGAUUGGUGUAUUUGCUUGUUAGCACACUUUCACUUGUAGGGAUGUUAUCAGGAUUUCAUGGGAAAAUUAAACAGGUUGCAUUUCAAACAGGUGGACAGAUAUAAAAGAUGCAGUAACUGUACCUGAUGAAGGCUGGUCAUCUUAUCUAAUCACUUGUUUUCUGAUUAAAAUCCCCAGAGGCCUUAGGAACUGAUAUCUGAUUAAAAUCCCCAGAGGCCCUGGGAACUGAUAGAGACCAAGGCAGGGUAGAUCUCCUCUGCCUGGCUCUACGAUGGGACCUGGAAAUGCAGAGCUUCUCCAGUUAAUUGGCUAAUUACUUGUCCUAAGAAGUUUUCCCACUUCAUACCCUGGAGUGAAGAAAGCCACAGCUGGUUGGGCACAGGGUGGAGGAAGACAACUCAGAAUAGGCGGUGAUGGAGAAAGAGUGAUGGAGUAGCAUGCAAGCUGUAGUUAAGAAAUGGGUCUUGAGGCCUUGAGUCUAUAGUAACCAAGUCAGGUCCAGGGCCUGGUGAGCCUAUUGGCAUUUUAUUUUCUCUAACAUGAGCGUGCUAGCAAUGACGAUGACUAAAGUCCUGUCAUCUCAUAUUUACAAUAAGAAGCUGCCAUGGAAUUAUACUAUAACUCUGGUGGUAAGGUUACAGCUAUAGCUUCCUACUUUUGCAAGGAAAUGCCACCUUUCAGGAUUGAACCCUUUUCUUCCUGAGUGAAACUGUACUGUUAAAACCAAUUUUAAGAAAAUGACUGGUUUCUUGCGGAAGAAGUGGUUUUGUGGGUGACCCUGCUGUUACGUACUUCCUGUGAACAGCUGUUCCACUUUCAUGGGAUGCUUCCUCAAACCAGUAGUUUUGAAAACAACAGGAAGAGAUGGAGAGUAUGGCAAUGAGUCAAAGCGAUGCCCACCCACCUCGCCUCUCUCCAGGGAAGCUAAAAAGACUGGAAGCCAAAUCUUGGGUCUUUUCAAAGGCAAAGAAAUUGGUGCAGUGCAAGAGAUGGAGGUUUGAGCAGUCUGCUUGCACAGAGCAUGGUGUGGGAAGAGAUUGGCUAGCAGUCCUCCAGCAGUCUCCGCUGGGGAGCAUUCUUAUGAGAACGGGCGCUCCCAACCCUCUAAGUGGCUGUGGAAAUCUGGACAACUGAUCAGCAGCCCUGGUAUAUGACCUUCUGGCUUGACCUGUACAAGUGACAAUAGAUGGAGUGAUGGUCAGACUAAUUAUGAAAGUUUAAUUCGGGGGACAUGUCUCCAGCUGGGACAUGAUCUAGCAUUAAACAGAGCAACUGAUUUGUAUAGAGUUCUGCCUACAAAGUGAAAACCUCAAAUUUCUUUUAAAUUCUACAAACUUUUGAAAAGGGUGACUUCUUGUUUCUUGGAUGCAUUUUAAAUCAUUAUUUCCUUUUGGGAUUGUAGUGGAGCAGGGAAUCUCAAUUCAGGGUAGAGCGGGUCGGUGAUGCACUGGAAGCCUUAUGCUCAGGAUCUGUGUCCCCGAAGCAGUCAUUGUAGCUGACAGGCUUCAAUGAAAUGAAACCCAGACAUUUCCUUUAAAAAAAUUUGAAACACGUGAAUUGAUUUUAAAAUGCCUUCUCUCUCAUUCCCUAAUAAAGUCUUUAAAACAUAUUACUGCUUUAACUGUUACUUUUCAGCAUGAAGCUACAAAACAAUACGUGCCAGAAUUAAACCACAGAACAAAAAUCCAAAUUCUGCCAGUGACUGAGUGAGAUGUUUCCACGUGUGGGUCUUCUUGUCCUUGUUAGGGCUGAGAGAAACGGGACAGUAAGCAGACAGAUUAGAAAGCACCUGGGGGAACUGGACCAAACUGAAGCACAAACAUCCUAGAGCCCAGGAAACAGCCAGUGUGCACAUUCCAAGCUGACGUGGGCAUAGCUGGUGUUAAACAUGUCUAUGGUGUUAAGUGGGCAUCAUGGGAUACACAAUUUGUACAUAGACAUGUGUGCUCAUGAACACACACACACACACACACACACACACACACACACACACACACACACACACACACACACGAGGAAGGAUCCUUGUAAUUAAGAAGACUAUCGAGAUCUAGAGAACAACUCUAAACUAUUUCCAAGAGGAAAUCCAGCAGUUCUAGAGCAAACUAAGAGGCCUGGGAACAUAGUUUGGUAGAAGAAUGUUUGCCUAGCAUCUAACAGGCUCCAUGCUAGAGCCUCAGGACUGAAAACGUAGAAGGGAGGAGAAUGAUCUUCAGGGCACAUGUCUCCUCCCUACUGACUGCCCUGUACCUCGUCCCAACAUACGCUGAACUAAAGGAAAAUAGAAACGUUUUCUCUGUCCAACUCAUUUCCGUGUUUAAUUGAAAUCCUUCACUGGAAAUUCUUUUGAAAGGCAUACUAAUAAUCAAGUAUUGGGUAAUUGCUCAAGCCAAGGCUAUAGGAGAGAUGGCAGAGGCAAUAACACCAGUCCAGAUGCCUUUGUAUGACUCCCCAAGGUGUAAAGGCUACCUGGCAUCACAUUUCUCCUCCACAGAUAAUUAAAAAUAAAACUAUAGCUAAUAAGAUAAAUAUGGUACUGCAUUUAUUUUUCUGCAGUACUGGGUACCAAAAACAACUGGUGCCGGGGCUUUGAAAAUCAGUAAAACUCUUAUAGCAGAUGAAUGCUUAAAUGAAACUUUGUAUAAACCUAUCUGAUAUCAAGAUGCUUUUAACAGUUUGUCACUACUAACAAGGGGUUAUUACUUAUACUUUUCCUUGAUUUCAGUAACUUUGAGUCUUCAUUUUCAACUUUGAUUUCAUUUUUCUUCUUGUCGUCGUCUAUGUGAUAUACACAUGACUGUGACGGGCGGAUGCUGACACCGGGAGUCUUCCUCAACCUCUUCUCCAUCUUGUGAUACGAGACAGGGUCUCUCACUGAACCUGGAACUUGUUCAUUUGGCUAGACUGGGGUGAGUAGCCUGCAGGCACCCAUGAUCCUCCUGCCUCUGCCUCCUCAGCCCAAGAACUACAGGCGCACAAUGUGUGCCCAGAUUUUGGCACAGGCCCGGGAGAAGCAAUCUAAGGUCCUCAUGCUUGCAAUAAUAAGUGAGCACUUUACCAACUGAGGGGGUCUCCCUAGAAGCUUUUGUAAAAAGGUCACAAAGCAGUGGGUUUCCUUAUAUCAUCUUCACGCACACGCGACCGCACUUUGCUUUCAUUCACUCCCCUCUUGUGGGAAGCUCAUGUGAAAUGCAACCAGUGUGUCUUCUGCUGAGGUGAGGGUGGGUUGCCUGGCUUCAGUCGUUGCUCCCGGUUUUCACAAUAGACAUCCAUGAUCUAGGGGAAUGGUAUGAUUCCUUUCAUGUUUUAAUCCAAUGAGCUGGGUAGCCAAUGGAAAAGCUGUGUUUCGUCACUUGUCUGGAGACUUUGUUAAUGGAGAUGCAGAAGACGAGGUGUGGCAACUGUGUGAAUGUGUUAUGAUAGAUCUUACUACAGGUUUGGAAAUAGUCUCAGCGCAUGUUAAUGUGUAUUAUUAUUCUCCAUAGUACAUCUAUAUAGCGUGGGUUAAAAAUUAAAAAUUCUGAGCAGGCAGCACACUAGAGCUGACUCUGUUGGAGGGGGGUGCAGGUGAGCUGGGCCUGUGUAUGUGAGAGCAGGAGAGCUGCCCCUAGCCCUUCCCUCGUAUGCCAUGGGACGGCAAAGGUAAGGGAAAUAUGUCCUGCCCCCCGACCCUUGUCACCUGCAGCAGGUGGGAGAGCAGACCUUAGGGCCAUGAGAAUGGUACAGCUGGUCCUACCCCUCACCAAAUGUAGCAAUCAAGAGAGUUGGCCCUGCAGCUCACCUGGACAAAACAGUAGAGCUGGCCCUGGUGGUGUGAGUGCUGGUGAGCUGGACCUGCUCUCACAAGAGCAGGAGAACUGGCCCCAUUCACUGCUGUCUGCUACAUCAGGUGAGCUAGCUGGGGUAGUGCUGGAGAACUUGCCUGGGUGAUGAAAACGAGGGAAAGCUGGCAGGCUGACUAACCUAGCUACCACACAGGCCCAGAAUGAGGACUAUAAGGUAGCCCAUCCCAACACCAACCUCAUCUAUGAACUGCUGCAGUAUGUGAAGGGGCCGGGAUGUAGAUGUGAAGGGAUCCUGCAGAUCCAAAGCUACAGGAUCUCUAUUGACAAAAGGCAACAAUAGGAUAUUCAAGAGAAGUUCCAGUGAGGGCCCAGUAUGGAGGGUAUAGCAGAAGCCAGUGACCUCUAACCAGACUAAAGACUCAUUGCAAUGAACAGUUACAUGUGAAGAUGUAUGGACUAAAGGUUAAACUGUGUGACUCACUGGGCCACACUACAGCUUCCAUGUCAAGAUGUUUUAAGUUUGUUUGGUUUUGCUUUUAAAUUUUGUUUUGAAGGGGAGGUUACAAGGGUCAAGGGAUGGGGAGAUAAAUGAGAUUGGGAUGCAUGAUAUGAAAUCCAGAAAGAAUCAAUAAAAAGUUAAAAAAAAAUUCUGAGCCAGGCGUGGUGGCUCAUGCCUUUAAUCCUAGAACUUAGGAGGCAGAGGCAGGUGGAUCUCUGUGAAUUUGAGGCCAGCCUGGUCUCCAGAAUGAAUUCCAGGACAGCUAGGGCUUCACAGAGAAAACCUGUCUCAAAAAAAAAGAAAGAAAAAAGAAAAAGAAAUAAAAAAUAAAAUUCUGAUAGAGUUCUCAUAAUUGCUUGUUUUACAAGUUUCUUUACAAUACCAAGGCAUUCUGGGGUCCAAACUCUUCAGAUUUCCUCUUGGUUUAGUCCUGAAUCAGUAGUAAUAGUAAAUAGCUGGGCCUGUCUUGUGUGCGUAUGGUACAUGCACAUGAGGACUCACAUGUAGAAGCCAGAGCAGGACAUCUGGUAUCACUCUGCACCUUUUUACAUGAAGACCGUACUGGAAGCUCACAUGGCUGGCUAGGCUGGCUGGCUAGAAGGCUCACUCUGGGGAUCCACCUUAUCUGCUACCAAUGUUGGGGUUUCAGGCACGCACAUACAAACUUGGCUUUUUAUUUGGUCACUGGGGAUCCCAACUCAGGUCUUCAUGCUUAUACAGCAAGGGCUGUUAGACACUGAGCCAUCACCCCCAGUCUGCUCCUUCUGUCACAUAACAUCUUUAAUCUGGGCACAUGUACCUCUAGGAUAAUUUUUAAUUCUAAAAGAUCAAGUAAAUUUUCCUAGAAUGAACGCUUUUGAAACUGGGACACAAUGAAUAGUGUGUUUUAUUUGCUUAAUAUAGUCAUACAGAGAAACGAUUUUUUAGUAAAAUCAUUCCCCUUGAUAUUUGCACACGGUGAAUACUUCCUCAUCACUGUUGUUUGUUUCAAUAAGACAUGUACUGGAAAUCUUAAAAAAUCUAUACAUAUUCCUGAGAGAAUAUCCUUUCAACACUCAAAUUGAUUUUUCUUUAGAGUCAUGUUCAGAUUUCAGAAUGUUUAUGACCAUAUCCCCUGCUAACCACUGGGGGAAAAAAUUCUCUCCUCUGCAGUGUGCAAGGGAAUUCUUGUAUUUCUCUCUCAACACUUAUAUAGUGCUCUUGAGUUUGGACUAAGAUGAGUUUGUCCUUAUUCACUCUUAGUUUCCCUCAGACAUCGUUGAGGAGUUUGAAAUUCUUACUUAAAUUUUUAGAUGGAUUCCACUUAGAAAUUCCAUAAACAACCAACUUAAGAAUGUUCCAAGAAAAUGAUAGUCAUUAAGCUGAUGACUUUGCAUAACAUCUUGAAUAGAUGAAUAUUGGAGGGCUGUGUUCACAUACUGUGCCAAGUAUCUGAUUGAGGUAAGCAUCCAUUGCAAAGUAGUUCCACUUCUAAGAAAUAGUAGCGAGAUAACAUUAUUAAAGCCAAUGGGUAUCUUUUUGAAUGUGACUUUUGAAACUUGGACAGCAUUUUAGUAAGAAAGUGUUUGAGAAGCCAACAAGACUCCCUCUGCAACAUCAUCUCCACUGUAGUGCUUAUUUAAUUCUUGAGAAAAGUAUAAUACUUAGGAUAAAAUAGCAUGGGUUACAAACGACUUUAUGGAAAUCCUCCUUUAAUAUGGUAAAGCUUGUGACUCCUAACACAAGCUCUGCCAAAACAGAACCUUAUUGGCCAACCCUAGGAGAUACACAGAGGAGCAUGCUAUGACUCCUGAAUUGCAUCCUAAUAAUAAUACGUGGAAAUGUAUUUCCAUUUCUAGAUCUCUGAAAAGAAAUAUAGUCCGAGGUGUACCCAUCUAGCGCUUCAAUCUUUUCUCCAAUCUUCACUCAUGAGUUUCAAGAAUGGAAACGGGAAUUGAAAAAAAAACUUGGGAGAAAUAAAAGCCAUUUGGGGCAGAGGGGUGGGGAGAUGGCUCAGUGGAUAAAGAUGCUUCCUGUGCAAGCCUGGCGAACUGAGUUUGAACUCAGGAGCCUAUAUAAAGUUGACAGAAGAGAACUGACUCCAUAGUGUUGUUCUCUGACUUCCACAUACCUCCACAUACACACCAUAGCACAGGUAGUACCCUCUAUAAUAACACAUAAAAAAAGGUAUUUGCAAAUAGCAAAGUCAGGCUAAAGAUAACAUAUGCAAUUGAGGGGCUUUGAUCCCCUAGUAGACUCCUGAAGUACUGUUAGCUCUAGGGUCUGAAGUAUGAGCAAGGCUACAGAAAUUCAUGUUCCCCCUUCAUAAAUAAGUCUGUAUAAUUAUGAAUUUGUAAUAAAGUGACUGCUGUAUUGGAGCUACUAAUCAAGGUUGCCUAUUAUUUAUGUUAUGACACAGGGUCCUACUAAGCUGGCCUGGCUGCCCCCAGUUGAUCUUUUCCCUUUGAGACAAUUUGGGACUGCAAGUAUGUUUAGCUAAAAAGAUCACUUUUGUACUUAGAACUAAAUCAAGACUAAGGUAAAUACUGAAAGUUGGAACGUCGUCUGAAAAAUUCUAUUGAUUCUUUCGUGGGCAGAUUCACCAAAUGACAAUGCAUUUCAUUAUCUCAACAACAGCCUGAUGGAAUUCUACUUUGGGAAGUGAAGACUGCUACAAGAUGGUACAGGAUCCUUUUUAGGUAUUUUUGACUUUGGUAUUUUGAUGUUUCAAGUGACUAUCGAAAAAGCUAAAAGCAUAGCCUAAUAAAACUAUUUCUCUUCUUUUCUAGCUUUCAACCUUGAUGCUAUGACUGUGAGCAGGCUGUUGAAGCUUUGUGUGUCAUGGUUUCCAAACUGUAUCAAAUAUCCAUAACAAGGCUCCCCUCAUGAGCUUGCUGAGGAUGAAGGAAGUUCACACAUGGGUCACACCUGGACAUAGCCAAGACCAUUUAUCAAAUAUCACACUGUACAUGAAAAGCCCUCUUUUGAGUUGUUAGGGUUUUCCGAGAGACUCCCAAAAUAUUACAGGCUAUUGUUACUACCCUUGGUGGCCUCUAGAGAUGUAAGUUAAGUCCUUGUUGCUGAAGAAACCAGAGGCCCCUGAGCUGGAACUCAUCUCAAUGUCUCUUCCCUGAGGACCUGUUUUCAUGGUAUCAGAAGCAUGCAAGUUUCCAAAGGAGAUAAGUGUAUCCUCACCCCUCAUCAAGGAAACUCCUCUUUGCAACAGAUGAAGAUCACUACAGUAAACCACAACCUAUCAAAAUACAGACUUGUGGAGUCCAGUCCUAAUGGAUAUAUCUACAAAACAACUCAUGCAUCUAAGGCCCAGAGAACAUUGUGGAAGAAGGGGCAGAAAGACUGUAAGAGACAGAGGAUCAGGGAGUUGGAUAUGAGACUGUAUCUCCUAGUACUGUGAGAAGCUACAUCCAUAAAGUCUCACGAACAUGACUAUCUAAACUUGAUCUGAAUGAGGACACAACAAUAGGCAUGCCAAAGUGGAUAUGGAAAAGGGAAGGCCUCAACCAUACAGAAAAAAUAAUUACAGGUAGUCAAGGAAUGUUGUGAGUGGGAGAAAUCAUCUUCCCCAGGGAAGAACACACCAAUUCGUUAUCCAAUACCACAUGGUCAGCCCCGAAAACACAUAUACAAGUAACAUUAUAAAGUCUGAGAAGGUAAUAUUUAGGAAUAUACACAUAUAUACAUGUAUGCAUACAACAACAACUAAUGAAAAAAGAGGUCAUGAAUUUAAAAGAGAGAAGGGGGUAUUUGGGAGGUUUUGGAGGGAAAAAAGGAAACAGAGAAAUGAUAUAUUAUAAUCUAAAAAAAUGAAAGAAAAAAGAAAUCAGCAGCUUGUAUGAACAAUAUACAUUCUGCAUAAAUAAUCAAACAUUUAAAAAGUGAAAUAAAUUUAUGCUUUAAGAAAAUACCUAGUCUUACAAUUAGAUAGUUAUAAAAGCCUUAGUAAAUUCAAUUUACAGAUACUUUGUUAUAAGUUUACAGAAUGUUUUCAUUUUUAUUUGAAUUAAUAAAUAUGACUUAGAACUGAGCUGUGGAACCAAAGAAUGAAUGGGAGUGUGGGUGGGGCUCCCUGAAAACAAGCUAUUGCAAGAAAAAGAGGAAAAUGAAAUAUAAAUCUGCUUAUUCACCUUGUUAUAGUCCAAUAAUUACAGUCACAGAGAUAUGGCCCUGAUGAGCAGAUACUCUUUACAUCAAUUUACAGAGUGUUUGAUAAUCCUCUUUUACCUAGUUAUGUAAAGAAAGUGGCAUCACCAGAAAGGAAGGGCUAUAAUAACAGAAAGAUCCGGACAUUGUAUAGCUAGUCCUUGGCUUUUAAGAUCCAUUGAAAUCUGAGUUAAGUUACAAUUCAGUUGUGCACCUAGAUUAGCUUUGAUUCCAUUUCAUCCCCUUAACCCCACACCGUGAUAUCUAUAUCAGUAUCACAUGCAAUCAUUUCUGCAUGAUACAUAUAUUAUAUUUCAAAAUGAAUGUCAAUUCACCUUAUUUUAUUAGGUAAACUCAUAAAGUAUGAAGGCUCAUCUUGAGCACAAUGGAUAAGUAUCAAAUAAAUUACCACUAUUCUUAUUUAAUAACUGGUUUAACUUGGUUUUUGUUUGUUUAUUUUUUGAGAUAGGGUUUCUUUGUGUAGCCCUGGCUGUCCUUGAACUAGCUCUGUGGACCAGGCCAGCCUUGAACUCAACAGAAAUCCACCUGGGUGCCACCGCCACCCAGCUGAUUUUGUUUUAAUGCACAUGCCAUAUGUUUGCUUCAAACUUCACUGAGGUCCUCAGCAAAAACAGUACACACUCUUAACCAUUGAGCCUUGACUCCAGCCCAAUUACUGGUGUAACUUUGAAAUCAAUAGUUCGCAGCCUUGAUCUAGAUUCACUUAGAGAUUUUGUAAGAACCACACCAUUGAGACAUAGCAUCUGCAAUCUACUCAAUCCUGCAGUGUUGUAUGAUUCCCUGACAGUCUGUGCUUUAGAUGAAGGAGGCUAUGAACAAAAUAUAGCAAACUGCACUUAACCUUAAAAAGAGUGAAAGCGCUUCAAGAUAUUUCACUUGUGAAGAUAUUAGAAACACAAAAGUCUGAGGUGUGAUGAUGCCACAAUACACUGUGCUCCGUGAAGGCAAUUAAAGUGGUUUUAGCACUAGAUCCUGAUGAAAGAAAGGAACAGACUCAGGGAAGGAACAUCGGCACCUUUGCUGUUGGCUUUUUAACUUCAGCCACAAAGUCUAAACAACUCCGUCCGACAAUGAUGGGCUGAUGAUUUGCUAGCCACCUGCUCCCACCUCUGCCCAGGCUAGUACUUGCUAGACCAACACAGGCACCUGCUGCUGAUUUGCUCCCUUUUGCUCCUCACUGGGGGCAGUCAGGGUUCUUUAACAAGCCGAGACCAUGAAAGCUGAGGGGCUCCAAACUGCUACCGCCAGCCAUGAGAGGGCAGUUGGCACAAGACAAUGAAAUUUUUUUCUCCCUGGGCAGGUGGCUACUGCUGAGAUCCUUCUGGAAAGAAAUCAAAAUCCUAAUAGGAGUGGAAAAUCACCGGCAUCAAGAGCCUUGGGAAGCAAUUUUUCCUUGUGCUUAUUCUGGGCUUUACUCUUCCUGUUGAUGGCCCAUUUCUUGAUGAGUGCUCUCUCACUCACCGAAGACUGUGCUUUGCAAUGAGCACCUUGGGAACAAAGGAGAGAAGCAAGCGAAUCCAAUAAUUUGUGUAAUCUUUCAACUGUUACCUACACUUCUCAUUCCAUUAUCCUAACCGUAUGCUUGUAAACUGUCCCCAAAGAGGCACUUAGGAACCCAUUUAUUGAAGUCAAGUAUGGUGGUCAUACCAGGAAUCCUGGCGUUUGGGGAGGCAGGAGGAACAGGAGUUCAAGGUCAUCCUCAGCUACAUAGUGAGUUGGAGGUUGACCUGAGUAUUUGAGAGAGACCCAGUGAUAAAAAGCCAAAAGUAAAAUAAGAUAAAAUAAAUAAAAUCAGAAAUAAAGGAGGAAAAAAGGAAACCUUCUAGUUGAAUACAAAGCCAUUUUCUCCUUAUGUUUCAGUGUUGUUUUAAUUAGGGAUACUAUAAGCUUGAGACCCAUCUACGUUCUUAAUAUAAGAGGAUUUGAUACGUAUAAAAUUGUGUGUGUGUAGAAUUAUGUUUUAAAAAACUUUGAUUGUUUAAAUUUUGGAGUUAUGCAAAACAGAAUUGUUCAUGUCAGAAAGUUUUUGGAGUUGGGGGAGAAUUCCCGGCAGCAGGUGAAUGGCAGUAGUAACUGAGGGAAUGGCACAUUGCUGCUGUCUACCCAGUGUCUAUUUCAGGGCGAUUCCGUUUCAUAACGUAAGAAUGGAAGUGUGGUUUGUACAUUUCCUCCAGUGCCUUGUCACCACCACAACCCAUGUCGAAACAGUUGGGACUAACAUAUGUUCCUCUCUGGAAUGAAGAUCCCUGCAUGCCUUUAAUACGAUGAGUCAUGGUCUUUUCACCAAAGUUAGGGAAUAAAUCUUGGCUUCUUUUCUCCCAUUUUCAUUUCUGUUUUUAAUGAAAGAAAAAAAAAAAAACAAAGCAAAUCACUAACUUGCCUUUCAGUCACCUAAAAACUAACCUGAAGACUGUGUAUUUCUGAACCCAUGUAUUAAAAAUAAGAGUGUAAGUUUUCUUUUCUUACAUAAUUUAUCAUCUCUUCAUCUAACAAAGUAAAUGCUAAAUGGGGCAGAGUCAACUUGUUUAAGAAAAAGCAAGACAUGAGAAGCAGUACUAACGAUCCCAACCAUGAGCCAGAUAAAACUGAACUGGGAGCUAGCAUAAGUUCUAAUUCAUCCCCCAACACAUGGAGAGUGCUCACUGGUGACAGACGAGAGUGAUAGCUUCCCUGCUCUGUCCUCAAUUAGACAACAGAAGUAGCAGCUGUGCUGACAUCUAGGAUGCAAGAGAAGUUGAAGAUGUCUACCUCCCCAAGACCAUUCCUCAAUUAAUGCUCAAAAAAUUUAACAGCAUGACAUUUUCAUUUCAGGUCACCUAGUGAUGGUGGAUUCUAUAAGCACUUAUAGGAACCAUCUUGAAACACUACUUUGGGAUGAAAUUUUCUUAACUUAAAGACACAGCCAUUAAAAAAUGAAGCUCCUUUGAUAGAGCACUGCAGAAAGAUUUUAAUUAUAGCUUAUAAAAAGUCAUCUUCCAAAAACCCAACUUAAUAAUGGGAUUCAUUAUUUUUAUUUAAUUUUUUACUAAGGAAUUUUUUUAUUCAUUUUACAUACUAAUCUCAGAUCCCCCUCUCCUCCCUCCUUCUCCCCUCCUGCCAAAUCCACCUCCAUUCCCUCCUCAAACAAGGCAAGGUCUCCCAUGGGUAGUCUGCAGAGCCUGGUACAUUCAGUAGAGGCAGGUCCAAGCCCCUCCCCCUGCAUCAAUGCUGGACUAGGCCCUCUGCAUUAUUUUUAUUUUUAAUUCCAGAAUCCCUACCGCUAUGGUGAAUGGCCUGAUAAAACCACUAAUGGUCAAAGUAUUUCAGGCUCAAAUUAUCCUUGUGUGGUUUGUAUAAUAGUUCAUUAGAGUGCAAACAGCAUUUUAAUAGCCAAUUUAGAGCAUUCAAUGAUAAUCAAGAUUUACCAAAAAUAUACUUCUUAAAUGUCAUGUUUAACCUAGAAAUGAGUAGAACCACUCAAAGGUUAACUUAUUUUAUGUGUCUGAGUGUUCUGUCUGCAUGUGUGUCGGUGUACCAUGUGCAUGCCUGGUGCCUGCAGAGGUCAGAAGAAGUUAUCAGAUGCUCUGGAACUGGAGUUACAAAGGGUUCUAAGCCACCAUGUGGGUGCUGGGCAUUGAACCCAACUCUUCUGUAGGGGUUUUAGCCCUUUCCUUUCCUUUUAUGUAUCAUUUCAUAUGUCAGUUCUUCAGGAAGAAGGUAAACACAUACUUGACAUUGUCACCUGCCUUUGUUUUUCUGAGGUGGACUGAUUCAAUCGUUAAACAUAAAUAUAUUUUACUGCCCUUGCCUGAUACAAAGAAUAAUGCUCUCAUAAUAAAUAUGUAAAACAAUCAAUUUUGGCAAAUAAAACUCUCCAAAUCACUCAGGUUUAAUAUUACAACCCAUUAGAGUGUUACAAGACUUCCUCGGGUCAUGAAAAUAAUUCCUUCUAUCAAAAAUGUCUUUCCCUGAUUUUCUUCAAAUCAAGUUGGCAUUGCCACCGGAGGUCAGAUGCCCAUUUCAAGUGUCCUCCUAAGGAAGGGUGUGUGCAUGGGUGUGUGUGUGGGGGGGGCAGUGUUUUAGUCUGAGAUGAAGCCCACAGGACUGGGAAUCCAUCUCUAUAAUUUGCUAGGUCAACUCAUGCUUGUAAUCUUGGGCUGGAAAGAAGGAAGUAGUGCAUCAAAGUGGCCGUCAACACUGAGUCACUCUGCAUUUAAAGCUCCUUAUUGGAAAGAGUGCCAGGGUGAGCUCAGACACUUACAGAGUUAAGCGUGUGUCUGAAAACUAAAAGGUUGCAGGGUUAGAAAAUUGAGAUGGUGUUAUGUGUUGGCAGGUCACAACAACUCCUUAGAUGGAAGAAAUCAGCUGCCGCAUUCCUUGUAAAAAAAAUUCCUGUGAUUUAUCUGUGAGGUAAUAAUUCUAGGAAGAACUAGACUUCCGGUUAGGGAAUUGAGCAGGAAUUUAGUUUUCCUACUGAAAAAGCCCAGAAUUCUCAUUUUCUAUAUGCAUAAAAUGCACUGCUGCAUGAAUUAAAACAUACACUAUUGUUAAUGGGCAUUAUGUGAUCGGAUUCAAUGUGACCUGAAGCUAAUUCAUAGUUCUAGUUCAGAAUGCCUUUGAACUGAGUUCAGAG